rnacentral:rRNA from 1 species
UACAGAGGAUGCGAGCGUUGUUCGGAAUCACUGGGCUUAAAGCGCGUGUAGGCGGAUCGGUCAGUGUCCUGUGAAAGCCCCCGACUCAACCGGGGAACUGCAGGGCAUACUGCCGGUCUUGAGGCAGGUAGGGGUGCGCGGAACUCUAGGUGGAGCGGUGAAAUGCGUAGAUAUCUAGAGGAACGCCGGUGGCGAAAGCGACGCACUGGGCCUGUACUGACGCUGAGACGCGAAAGCGUAGGUAGCGAACGGGAUUAGAUACCCCCGUA